AUCCCGCGUAAGGGAUUGCAGUGGAAAUCCCGGACCCGCCGCGGCGGGGAGGAAUUGCAACGGAAAGCCCGACCUGAA
rnacentral:misc_RNA from 1 species